GGGUCACUAACUCAAUGGUAGAGUACUCGGCUUUUAACUGAUAAGUUCUGGGUUCGAUUCCCAGGUGACCCA
rnacentral:tRNA from 1 species